UACGGAGGGGGCCAGCGUUGUUCGGAAUUACUGGGCGUAAAGCGCACGUAGGCGGCUUUGUAAGUUAGAGGUGAAAGCCCGGAGCUCAACUCCGGAACUGCCUUUAAGACUGCAUCGCUUGAACGUCGGAGAGGUAAGUGGAAUUCCGAGUGUAGAGGUGAAAUUCGUAGAUAUUCGGAAGAACACCAGUGGCGAAGGCGACUUACUGGACGACUGUUGACGCUGAGGUGCGAAAGCGUGGGGAGCAAACAGG
rnacentral:rRNA from 1 species